rnacentral:misc_RNA from 1 species
GAUGAAGAACGCAGCAAAAUGCGAUAAGUAAUGUGAAUUGCAGAAUUCAGUGAAUCAUCGAAUCUUUGAACGCACAUUGCGCCCGCCAGUAUUCUGGCGGGCAUGCCUGUUCGAGCGUCAUUUCAACCCUCAAGCCCUCGGGUUUGGUGUUGGGGAUCGGCGAGCCUUUCUGGCAAGCCGGCCCCGAAAUCUAGUGGCGGUCUCGCUGCAGCCUCCAUUGCGUAGUAGUAAAAACCUCGCAACUGGAACGCGGCGCGGCCAAGCCGUUAAACCCCCAACUUCUGAAUGUUGACCUCGGAUCAGGUAGGAAUACCCGCUGAACUUAAGCAUAUCAAUAAGCGGAGGA